GGAAUAUUGGACAAUGGGCGCAAGCCUGAUCCAGCCAUGCCGCGUGCAGGAUGACGGUCCUAUGGAUUGUAAACUGCUUUUAUACAGGACGAAACACCUCUACGUGUAGCGACUUGACGAUACUGUAAGAAUAAGGAUCGGCUAACUCCGUGCCAGCAGCCGCGGUAAUACGGAGGAUCCAAGCGUUAUCCGGAAUCAUUGGGUUUAAAGGGUCCGUAGGCGGCCUUAUAAGUCAGUGGUGAAAUAUCCCCGCUCAACGGGGAAACGGCCAUUGAUACUGUAGGGCUUGAAUUAUUAGGAAGUAACUAGAAUAUGUAGUGUAGCGGUGAAAUGCUUAGAGAUUACAUGGAAUACCAAUUGCGAAGGCAGGUUACUACUAAUAUAUUGACGCUGAUGGACGAAAGCGUGGGUAGCGAAC
rnacentral:rRNA from 1 species